rnacentral:lncRNA from 1 species
CAUACGUCUACUUUGAAUCGAGUUACAUCGGAAUAUGUAAUAAAAAAUGGGGGUCACCAUUUUUGUUUUUUUGUAAUUUUCAUAGGAAAACGUCAAUUUUGGCGACAAAUUUACUUAGGUAUAUAGGGGAAAUGCCUUUUUUUCAGCUUACCUUUUUAGAUUUUCGAAUGGAUGGCUAUUUUCUUAUAUACGGAGAAAAACAAAAAACUAACAUAAUAUCCAGGAUUGCAUAGUGAAUCCAUACACGUAUAGAAACUCAUAUGUCACCAUCCUUGUUUUUGAAAUAAAUGGCUUCAAAGUUGAUCGAUAGGCCUAGAACUUGACCAAAAACGUGUGACGUUAUGGUGUACGGAAUAUAACGUUAUUCCUUCUCAGAGAAAUGGAGAGAAAAAUAUGUGUCGGGAUCUGAAUGAGUAUAUUUUAUUUUCAUUUCCCUUGUCGACUGUCGUAAAGUUCCUAGUAAUGCAAUAUAAAAUUCUACUGAAUCAAAUAUAAUUUUAUUUCAUCCUGCACAAGGAAUUUCACUCAUAUGAAUUAAUAUUAAUAUCGUCUGAUUUUCACAUCAAACGAGCAUAUACUUGAAACUUGCGUGAACAGGUUCCAUGUGAAUCUUAAUUUAUGAUAAUAGUUCAUGCAUAAAUCACCGGAACUUUUUACACGCUAAGUUCACGUAAAUAUUUGAA